rnacentral:rRNA from 1 species
GUUAUAGGAUCAAGCGACUAAGUGCAUGUGGUGGAUGCCUUGGCGAUCACAGGCGAUGAAGGACGUGUAAGCCUGCGAAAAGCGUGGGGGAGCUGGCAAUAGAGCUUUGAUCCCACGAUGUCCGAAUGGGGAAACCCACCCCGCAAGGGGUAUCCCAGACUGAAUCCAUAGGUCUGAGGAGGCGAACCGAGCGAACUGAAACAUCUAAGUAGCUCGAGGAAAAGAAAUCAACCGAGAUUCCGCAAGUAGUGGCGAGCGAACGCGGAAGAGCCUGCACGACUAAACCAUCAGCUUAGCAAAACGGUCUGGAAAGUCCGACGAUACAGGGUGAUAGUCCCGUAUGCGAAAAGCCGGUGGCGGGUCUGAGCGUGCGACAAGUAGGGCGGGACACGAGAAAUCCUGUCUGAAGAUGGGGGGACCAUCCUCCAAGGCUAAAUACUCGUGAUCGACCGAUAGUGAACCAGUACCGUGAGGGAAAGGCGAAAAGAACCCCGGGAGGGGAGUGAAAUAGAUCCUGAAACCGCAUGCAUACAAACAGUGGGAGCCUCGUAAGGGGUGACUGCGUACCUUUUGUAUAAUGGGUCAGCGACUUACGUUCAGUUGCGAGCUUAACCGAAUAGGGGAGGCGUAGCGAAAGCGAGUCUGAUAAGGGCGUCAGAGUAGCUGGGCGUAGACCCGAAACCGGAUGAUCUAUCCAUGGCCAGGAUGAAGGUGCCGUAACAGGUACUGGAGGUCCGAACCCACUAACGUUGAAAAGUUAGGGGAUGAGCUGUGGAUAGGGGUGAAAGGCUAAACAAAUCCGGAAAUAGCUGGUUCUCCCCGAAAACUAUUUAGGUAGUGCGUCGUACGGACACUUGCGGGGGUAGAGCACUGUAAUCGUUGGGGGGGUCAUUGCGAUCUACCCCGCGAUAGCAAACUCCGAAUACCGCAAAGUGAUAUACGGCAGACAGACAUCGGGUGCUAACGUCCGGUGUCAAGAGGGAAACAACCCAGACCGCCAGCUAAGGUCCCAAAUGCAUGGCUAAGUGGCAAACGAGGUGGGAAGGCAUAGACAGCUAGGAGGUUGGCUUAGAAGCAGCCACCCUUUAAAGAAAGCGUAAUAGCUCACUAGUCGAGUCGUCCUGCGCGGAAGAUGUAACGGGGCUCAAGCCAUGAACCGAAGCUGCGGAUGUGUCUUUGACACGUGGUAGGGGAGCGUUCCGUAAGCCUGCGAAGGUGUCUCGUAAGGGAUGCUGGAGGUAUCGGAAGUGCGAAUGCUGACAUGAGUAGCGAUAAAGGGUGUGAAAAGCACCCUCGCCGUAAGCCCAAGGUUUCCUGCGCAACGUUCAUCGGCGCAGGGUGAGUCGGCCCCUAAGGCGAGGCAGAAAUGCGUAGUCGAUGGGAAACAGGUCAAUAUUCCUGUACCGCUCUAUGAUGCGAUGGGGGGACGGAGAAGGUUAGCUCGGCCAUCUGUUGGAAUAGGUGGUUUAAGCGUGUAGUCGUGCCGCGUAGGCAAAUCCGCGUGGCUUAGAUGAGGCGUGAUGACGAGGAUCCUCGGAUCCGAAGUGAGUGAUACCCAGCUUCCAGGAAAAGCCUCUAAGCUUCAGUCAUAGAGUGACCGUACCGCAAACCGACACAGGUGGGCUGGUAGAGAAUACCAAGGCGCUUGAGAGAACUCAGGAGAAGGAACUCGGCAAAUUGAUACCGUAACUUCGGGAGAAGGUAUGCCCCUGGUACGUGAAGGCCCUCGCGGCCGGAGCGGAACGGGGUCGCAGAGAAUCGGUGGCUGCGACUGUUUAUUAAAAACACAGCACUCUGCAAACACGAAAGUGGACGUAUAGGGUGUGACGCCUGCCCGGUGCCGGAAGGUUAAGUGAUGGGGUGCAAGCUCUUGAUCGAAGCCCCGGUAAACGGCGGCCGUAACUAUAACGGUCCUAAGGUAGCGAAAUUCCUUGUCGGGUAAGUUCCGACCUGCACGAAUGGCGUAACGAUGGCCACACUGUCUCCUCCUGAGACUCAGCGAAGUUGAAAUGUUUGUGAAGAUGCAAUCUCCCCGCGGCUAGACGGAAAGACCCCAUGAACCUUUACUGUAGCUUUGCAUUGGACUUUGACGGGACUUGUGUAGGAUAGGUGGGAGGCUAUGAAACCGGGACGCCAGUUCCGGUGGAGCCAUCCUUGAAAUACCACCCUGGUGUCGUCGAGGUUCUAACCCAGGCCUGUGAAUCCAGGUCGGGGACCGUGCAUGGUGGGCAGUUUGACUGGGGCGGUCUCCUCCCAAAAGGUAACGGAGGAGUACGAAGGUCACCUAGGUACGGUCGGACAUCGUACUGAUAGUGCAAUGGCAAAAGGUGGCUUGACUGCGAGACCCACAAGUCGAGCAGGUGCGAAAGCAGGUCAUAGUGAUCCGGUGGUUCUGUAUGGAAGGGCCAUCGCUCAACGGAUAAAAGGUACUCUGGGGAUAACAGGCUGAUUCCGCCCAAGAGUUCACAUCGACGGCGGAGUUUGGCACCUCGAUGUCGGCUCAUCACAUCCUGGGGCUGUAGCCGGUCCCAAGGGUAUGGCUGUUCGCCAUUUAAAGUGGUACGUGAGCUGGGUUUAAAACGUCGUGAGACAGUUUGGUCCCUAUCUGCCGUGGGCGCUGGAAGUUUGAGAGGGCCUGCUCCUAGUACGAGAGGACCGGAGUGGACGCACCCCUGGUGUACCGGUUGUGACGCCAGUCGCAUCGCCGGGUAGCUAUGUGCGGAAGAGAUAACCGCUGAAAGCAUCUAAGCGGGAAACUCGCCUCAAGAUGAGACUUCCCCGGGGCCUCGAGCCCCCUGAAGGGUCGUUGAAGACCACAACGUUGAUAGGCCGGGUGUGUAAGCGUGGCAACACGUUCAGCUAACCGGUACUAAUUGCCCGUGUGGCUUGAUCCUAUAACCUU